UGUCCUCUGUGCAGCCUUCUCUCUUGCCGUCCCCGUAGCCACCUCCUGCCAAACACAGGAACACACAAGGCCUAACUGGCUCGUGGGUCAGUCAACCCCGCGUCCAUGUGGGCUCUACCUCCCAGUGUGAGUUUAUACGAAAUGGGAUUAAAGGGCGAGGAUCAGAAGGGAAGACAGAGGGUGUCCCUCAGUUGCAGAGACUGGCUUUGAACUUGCGAUCCUCCUGCCUCAGCUUCGUGCUGGGAUUAAAGGUGUGCUCCACCUGGCUGGUUAUUGCCAUCUCUGGAGGCUCCACCUGUGGCUUGGCCUGGGUCCAGUUGGAAGACCACUUUUCCUCCCAGGGGCACAGGAGUUAGAAGGCUUCCACUUGGAACCUAGACCUGGGCGUCUCUGAAGCACUUCCUCUGCUGUGUGCUGCAACGUUGCUCACCUGAGCUCGUGGGUUCUGCUCUUUCUGGUUUCUCAGAUGAAGGAAAGCAACAAAAUGUCCCAACAAAUAUGGACGGGCAAUGCCAGUCAACUCUGAAGAGUGUUACCUGAAGCAAGUCACGUUCUUUUACAUGAACUCUGCUUACUAAAUGAUUACCAGCUGCAUGCGUACCUCUUGGACCUUACGGGACAAAAUGUCUGUAACACACCUUAUCUCCUUAAGGCCUAGCAAUUUAAGAACAAAGAGAUUUUUAAAAUGACCUGCCUGUGAGUGAAGAGCUUGAUCACUGUCUGCAAACCAAGCCCCUGUCAAUGCAGGUGAGAGGACACGCUGUCCGAGCAUGGGGGUGUUUCUCAGGUAGGUUUGGUGCUGUGUUCUGGGAUCCGUGUCCAGAGUUCAAAAUUACUACUUUACCUCUGACAGAAAGUAAUGGAGUCAUGAUUUCCCAAGGGGUUGGCCACCCCAAGUUCAGAUCCUAUUUUAAAUGGCAAAUCAUGGUUUAUAUGCAAACCUCAUUCAUAGAUAAACCAGUGUGGAAAGGGGUCUUCCAUAGAAGGUGCUGAUUAGCACUUUAUUAUCCAAAAAAAAAAAAAAAGUAUCUGGAUGAGGCUCACCGUUCAGCCCCUCUCAGGAAGUCCCAGAAUUGAAUUUGGAUGAUUCGUGAGAGAUUAAGCCCACUAGGUUCUGGGAUCCCAUUGCCAGUUGAUUCCUGGGCUCAAGUUAUAGCUUUGCUCAUCCCUUCCCUCCAGAGUCCCCUCUAUCACCACGUCCACAACCUUCUGCAGGCAGAUCAAAGACUCAGGUGCCAGGUGACUGCUGGUUACCAUGCACGGGAAGCAGAGACUCACUUUGUUCGAAAUGGGCUGCCUAACAAGAGGCCUCCCCUCCUCCCAGGGUUUAAUGUACAGCUUUGCUGGAUUCUGUAAUUCUGGACUGAUUGAUUUUUAUCAUUUCUACUAGAAAAUAUUACAAUGCAAUCAGUAUUUUUUUCCUUAAAUUGUAAAUUUGUUUGAGAGAACAUUACUCCAAAUCCAUCUUCCCACUCCAUCCACAGGGUCCAGGCAUGUGGCUGGUCAUGGAUAUGCCCCCAGGCCAUAUCAACAGAGAGUCUUGCUUGCAAAUCUCCCUCAAGGAAAAUUCAUGUUGGUUGCAGAGAUGACAUCACCCUGUACUCGGCUUGACUUUGUGAUCCCAGAGACUUGUCAGCUAUCACUUGUAUUCUGUGCAACAACAUAAUUUACCUCAAGGCUUAGCAGAAAAAGCUUUAUCUUAUUGCUAGAUUUGCUUAAGAACAAUAUACGGUCUGCAUUUGUAGUCCAUACAUGGUAGUGUAGGAUUUAAAAUAGAGUUGUUCUUGGAAAUAACAGUUGGGGAAAAUGUCUUUUAACAUGUUAAUAAACUUAUGUUCUAUUUCAUUGCAGAAGGAGAGGUAAAGUGGCUUAAAAAUACGCUACUUCAACAUAAUAAACAUUUGAGCAAUA